AGCGUUUACGAUGUCGAUUUGGAGGUUGUGCCCUUGAGGCGUGGCUUCCGAAGCUAACGCGUUAAAUCGACCGCCUGGGGAGUACGGCCGCAAGGUUAAAACUCAAAUGAAUUGACGGGGGCCCGCACAAGCGGUGGAGCAUGUGGUUUAAUUCGAUGCAACGCGAAGAACCUUACCUACUCUUGACAUCCAGCGAAUCCUGUAGAGAUACGGGAGUGCCUUCGGGAACGCUGAGACAGGUGCUGCAUGGCUGUCGUCAGCUCGUGUUGUGAAAUGUUGGGUUAAGUCCCGCAACGAGCGCAACCCUUAUCCUUUGUUGCCAGCGGUUCGGCCGGGAACUCAAAGGAGACUGCCAGUGAUAAACUGGAGGAAGGUGGGGAUGACGUCAAGUCAUCAUGGCCCUUACGAGUAGGGCUACACACGUGCUACAAUGGCGUAUACAAAGAGAAGCGAACUCGCGAGAGCAAGCGGACCUCAUAAAGUACGUCGUAGUCCGGAUUGGAGUCUGCAACUCGACUCCAUGAAGUCGGAAUCGCUAGUAAUCGUGGAUCAGAAUGCCACGGUGAAUACGUUCCCGGGCCUUGUACACACCGCCCGUCACACCAUGGGAGUGGGUUGCAAAAGAAGUAGGUAGCUUAAC
rnacentral:rRNA from 1 species